rnacentral:rRNA from 1 species
UGGGGAAUAUUGCACAAUGGGGGAAACCCGUCGAUGCAGCAACGCCGCGUGAGUGAUGAAGGUUUUCGGUAUCGUAAAGCUCUGUCUUUGGGGAAGAUAAUGACGGUACCCAAGGAGGAAGCCACGGCUAACUACGUGCCAGCAGCCGCGGUAAUACGUAGGUGGCGAGCGUUAUCCGGAUUUACUGGGCGUAAAGGGAGCGUAGGCGGAUGAUUAAGUGGGAUGUGAAAUACCCGGGCUCAACUUGGGUGCUGCAUUCCAAACUGGUUAUCUAGAGUGCAGGAGAGGAGAGUGGAAUUCCUAGUGUAGCGGUGAAAUGCGUAGAGAUUAGGAAGAACACCAGUGGCGAAGGCGACUCUCUGGACUGUAACUGACGCUGAGCUCGAAAG